rnacentral:rRNA from 1 species
GAUGAACGCUGGCGGCGUGCCUAAUACAUGCAAGUCGAGCGAACGGACGAGAAGCUUGCUUUUCUGAUGUUAGCGGCGGACGGGUGAGUAACACGUGGAUAACCUACCUAUAAGACUGGGAUAACUUCGGGAAACCGGAGCUAAUACCGGAUAAUAUUUUGAACCGCAUGGUUCAAAAGUGAAAGACGGUCUUGCUGUCACUUAUAGAUGGAUCCGCGCUGCAUUAGCUAGUUGGUAAGGUAACGGCUUACCAAGGCAACGAUGCAUAGCCGACCUGAGAGGGUGAUCGGCCACACUGGAACUGAGACACGGUCCAGACUCCUACGGGAGGCAGCAGUAGGGAAUCUUCCGCAAUGGGCGAAAGCCUGACGGAGCAACGCCGCGUGAGUGAUGAAGGUCUUCGGAUCGUAAAACUCUGUUAUUAGGGAAGAACAUAUGUGUAAGUAACUGUGCACAUCUUGACGGUACCUAAUCAGAAAGCCACGGCUAACUACGUGCCAGCAGCCGCGGUAAUACGUAGGUGGCAAGCGUUAUCCGGAAUUAUUGGGCGUAAAGCGCGCGUAGGCGGUUUUUUAAGUCUGAUGUGAAAGCCCACGGCUCAACAGUGGAGGGUCAUUGGAAACUGGAAAACUUGAGUGCAGAAGAGGAAAGUGGAAUUCCAUGUGUAGCGGUGAAAUGCGCAGAGAUAUGGAGGAACACCAGUGGCGAAGGCGACUUUCUGGUCUGUAACUGACGCUGAUGUGCGAAAGCGUGGGGAUCAAACAGGAUUAGAUACCCUGGUAGUCCACGCCGUAAACGAUGAGUGCUAAGUGUUAGGGGGUUUCCGCCCCUUAGUGCUGCAGCUAACGCAUUAAGCACUCCGCCUGGGGAGUACGACCGCAAGGUUGAAACUCAAAGGAAUUGACGGGGACCCGCACAAGCGGUGGAGCAUGUGGUUUAAUUCGAAGCAACGCGAAGAACCUUACCAAAUCUUGACAUCCUUUGACAACUCUAGAGAUAGAGCCUUCCCCUUCGGGGGACAAAGUGACAGGUGGUGCAUGGUUGUCGUCAGCUCGUGUCGUGAGAUGUUGGGUCAAGUCCCGCAACGAGCGCAACCCUUAAGCUUAGUUGCCAUCAUUAAGUUGGGCACUCUAAGUUGACUGCCGGUGACAAACCGGAGGAAGGUGGGGAUGACGUCAAAUCAUCAUGCCCCUUAUGAUUUGGGCUACACACGUGCUACAAUGGACAAUACAAAGGGCAGCGAAACCGCGAGGUCAAGCAAAUCCCAUAAAGUUGUUCUCAGUUCGGAUUGUAGUCUGCAACUCGACUACAUGAAGCUGGAAUCGCUAGUAAUCGUAGAUCAGCAUGCUACGGUGAAUACGUUCCCGGGUCU